CUAUAGGGAAGAAGAGGAUCUAGACUAUGGGCUGACCAGGCCUGAGGGAGUAACCUUAAGGAGCCGCUAAGCCUGUUAAUACACAGUUGGACUUCACGUACCGCAUGUUUGUGGGGAACCUGGUGCUAAAUCAUUCGUAGAGGAUCUGCUCAAUUAAGGAACUCAAAUAUAAUGUUUAAAGACCUCAUUCAGUACAGAACAUGCUGGCAUGCGGCAUCAUGGAUUUUUAUUUAUUUUGUUUUCAGUAUUAAGUUUUCCAUAACACCUUGUGGUUGAAAACAAAGCAAAGAGCAUUAGAAAUAUCAGAAAUGUCAAGUCUGGUCUUCCUUGGUGUUGCUGGAGGACCUCUUGGAUAUCUUGAACGUGUGUAUAGUGAGCUCUGAUACUAUACUUGAUGGGAUGGGAUGGUGAAUGUUCACCAAAGAUUUCCUUUCUCCUAAAUGUCUAUACACUGAAUUAAAUUACUGUUAACCAAAGCAAAGCAAACGAAGUAGAGUUCUAAGCAGUCUCAAUAAAAAUCUUUCCCCCUUGGUUGAUCAUCAUUUUAGUCUGAUUUCUGUGAUGUCAUAAAGAAGCAGAAUUUUUCACGCAUCAGAAAGAAGCAAAGGAGAACAAGCCCAAUUUUCCCUCCUUUGCAAGUCCCCUUUAACUAUAAAGUUCCCUUUAUAUCUACAGAUAUUCUUACAUACCCUGAUCCAGCAAACCACCUUAAGCAUAUGAGUAGCCUUCUUACCUCAAUAAAAAGCUUAAAGCCAAGCUCCUUAAGUGCUUUUUCUGCAUUGGGGCCAUUGGUAAGGGGGGAUCCUUGGAAAUAAUUGAACUAUGUGAAUAUUAGGCAAAUGUUUUGUGCUGUUCAUUCAGAUAUUUAAACCAAUUCACUUCAAUUAUGUGUGUUCUACUGUUAAGUUUU